rnacentral:rRNA from 1 species
CAGCAGCCGCGGUAAUACGUAAGGGGCGAGCGUUGUUCGGGAUCAUUGGGCGUAAAGGGUGAGUAGGCGGAUAUGCAAGUCUAUGUGUAAAAUACCACAGCUCAACUGUGGAACUAUGCUGGAAACUGCAUGACUAGAGUCUGAUAGGGGAAGUUAGAAUUCCUGGUGUAAGGGUGGAAUCUGUUGAUAUCAGGAAGAAUACCAGAGGCGAAGGCGAACUUCUAGGUCAAGACUGACGCUGAGUCACGAAAG